CCUUGUACACACCGCCCGUCACGGCAUGGGAGUUGGUUUUACCCGAAGACGGUGCGCUAACCGCAAGGAGGCAGCCGGCCACGGUAGGAUCAGCGACUGGGCCG
rnacentral:rRNA from 1 species